rnacentral:misc_RNA from 1 species
AACGCACCUUGCGCUCCUCGGUGUUCCGAGGAGCAUGCCUGUUCGAGUGUCAGUAAAUUCUCAACCCCUCUCGAUUUGUUUCGAGCGGGCGUUUGGAUAGUGGGGGCUGCCGGAGACCUGGAUUUAUUUCGGGACUCGGGCUCUCCUGAAAUGCAUCGGCUUGCGGUCGACUUUCGACUUUGCAUGACAAGGCCUUCGGCGUGAUAAUGAUCGUCGUUAGCUGAAGUGCAUGAAUGAACCGUCCUGCGCCUCUAAUACGUCGACGCUUUCCAGCGUCUUCCUUAUUGACGUUUGACCUCGAAUCAGGUAGGACUACCCGCUGAACUUAA